GCGACCAUACCUCGGUAGAAACAUCGGUUUUCGUCUGAAUAUGGGAGUUAAACAACGUCGCGCAUGGUUCAUACGUGCGUAGGUGACCGGCUGGCAAUACCGAGUGUUGUGGUC
rnacentral:rRNA from 1 species